AGUGAACGCUGGCGGCAGGCCUAACACAUGCAAGUCGAACGGCAGCACAGGGGAGCUUGCUCCCUGGGUGGCGAGUGGCGGACGGGUGAGGAAUACAUCGGAAUCUACCCUUUCGUGGGGGAUAACGUAGGGAAACUUACGCUAAUACCGCAUACGAUCUGAGGAUGAAAGCAGGGGACCGCAAGGCCUUGCGCGAUUGGAUGAGCCGAUGUCCGAUUAGCUAGUUGGCGGGGUAAAGGCCCACCAAGGCGACGAUCGGUAGCUGGUCUGAGAGGAUGAUCAGCCACACUGGAACUGAGACACGGUCCAGACUCCUACGGGAGUCAGCAGUGGGGAAUAUUGGACAAUGGGCGCAAGCCUGAUCCAGCCAUGCCGCGUGUGUGAAGAAGGCCUUCGGGUUGUAAAGCACUUUUGUUGGGAAAGAAAUCCUGUCGGCUAAUACCCGGCUGGGAUGACGGUACCCAAAGAAUAAGCACCGGCUAACUUCGUGCCAGCCGCCGCGGUAA
rnacentral:rRNA from 1 species